rnacentral:rRNA from 1 species
GACGGAGGGUGCAAACGUUGUUCGGAAUCAUUGGGCAUAAAGGGCACGCAGGCGGCCCAGUCAGUCAGUUGUGAAAUCCCACGGCUCAACCGUGGAACUGCAUCUGAUACUGCUGGGCUAGAGGCUGGUUGGGGUGAGUGGAACUCCUGGUGGAGCGGUGAAAUGCGUAGAUAUCAGGAGGAACACCAGUGGCGAAAGCGGCUCACUGGACCAGCUCUGACGCUCAGGUGCGAAAGCUAGGGUAGCGAACGGG